rnacentral:tRNA from 1 species
GGAAGCGUGGCAGAGUGGUCGAAUGCACCGGUCUUGAAAACCGGCGAUGGGCAACCAUCCGUGGGUUCGAAUCCCACCGCUUCCG